UUCUAACAGAUCGAAUGAAAUGAUACCGUCACAACAGCAGCUCCAAAUGUCUCAGCCACUGCAAGAUAUCACAAAUUCACAAAUGAUGCGCAAUACAAGUUUACAUCAAUCAGAAGUUAGCCCAUAUUAUAAAGACCUGUAUGCAAGGAGAUUCAUACAACAUACUGAUUCUGGUAUGCCAGGCUUUAAACGCCGUCACUUGGAAACCGAAAUCUAUAUGUCUGAAAAUCGUGAAGAAUGGGACAGUAGCAUGUAUCCGGAGGAGUUGUUCCCCAAAAAAGUAUCCAAAAUUACAGAAAUGCAAACCUUUCAUCCUGCAGUUAAUGAAAUUAUUGACUUUAAACCAAAUUCAGCUCUAUCAGCGGGAAC